AUCUUCCCUGCUAGAUUGCCAGCUCCUUGAGAGCAGAGGCCCCUGUUUUCUUCACUCUGUUCUACUGGAGCCUCAGUGUGGUUCUGGCGCUGAGCAAGGGCUUCAUGCAUAUUUGUUGGGUUAUGAAAUCUGCUCCCGGGUUCCUCCGAGAGCCCAGCACCACUAUGAACACAUGGAAAGUGCCGUACGGCAUGCAGGAUCUCAGUUCCCUGACCAGGGAUCGAACCCACACCCCCUGCAGGGAAAACGCCGAGUCUUAACCACUGGGCCGCCAGGGAAGUCCCUCAGAAGCUUCUUUAAAAAAGGCGUCCGUGUGGCAUUAAUCGAUGAAUGUGAGAGUUGGAGGCUCAGAGCCGCCUUAACACAGUUAAAAGCACAUGUUCUGAAGUUGCCAUCGUGUGGACUCAUGGAGUAAAUGACUGUGUAGCUGAAAGAUCAGGAGAGGAAGGUCUUCUGAACUGAUCAUGAAACGAUCUCCGAGGCAGGCUGCAAAGGGGGAAAACAAACAAACAAACAAACGGGAAUUCCCUGGUGGCUCAGUGGUUAAGAAUCCACCUGCCAGUGCAGGGGAUACAGGUUGAAGUCCUGGUCCGAGAAGAUCGCAGCUAAGCCCGUGUGCCACAACUACUGAGCCCGCUUGCCACAGCUACUGACGCCCGUGCACCUAGAGCCCGUGCUCCACAACAAGAGAAGCCACCGUAAUGAGAAGCCCUCGUACCGCAGCAAAGAGUAGCCCUCACUCGAGGCAACUAGAGAAAGCCUGCGCACAGCAACGAAGACCCAACGCAGCCAAAAAUAAAAUAAACAAAUAAAUAAAUUUAUUAAAAAAGCAGACAAAAACAAAGUGGAACAGAGUAAAAAACAGAAUAUAAGAGCAAAAGAAUCCACAUAUGUAAUUGCUUGUCUAUGCAGAAGACAUCUCUGGAAGUGGAUGGUGCCGGCUGUUUCCGCAAGGUGCAUGGAGGGGACCCAGAGAAGGAGACUUCACUGUAAGCACUUUGGUGCUCUUUGAAUCAGGAAUUAUAUAAAAAUAUUAUCAAUAAAAAAGGAAGAAUAGGUCUGACACUUGCUACAACAUGGAUGAACCUUGAGGACACAGAGCUAAGCGAAAUAAGCCAGUUACAGAAAGACACAUGCUGUGUGAGUCCACUUAUACGAGGUACUGAAAGUAGUCGGAUUCAUAGAGAGAGA